GACGAACGCUGGCGGCGUGCUUAACACAUGCAAGUCGAGCGGUAAGGCCCUUUCGGGGGUACACGAGCGGCGAACGGGUGAGUAACACGUGGGUGACCUGCCCUCCAGCUCUGGGAGUAAGCCUGGGAAACCGGGUCGUAAUACUGGAUAUGACUCCAUGACGCAUGUUGUGGGGUGGAAAGCCUUGUGCGGCUGAGGAUGGGCCCGCGGCCUAUCAGCUUGUUGGUGGGGUGAUGGCCUACCAAGGCGACGACGGGUAGCCGGCCUGAGAGGGC
rnacentral:rRNA from 1 species